rnacentral:rRNA from 1 species
GACAGAGGUGCCAAGCGUUAGGCGGAAUUACUGGGCGUAAAGAGCUCGUAGGUGGUUUGUCGCGUUGUUCGUGAAAACUCACAGCUUAACUGUGGGCGUGCGGGCGAUACGGGCAGACUUGAGUACUGCAGGGGAGACUGGAAUUCCUGGUGUAGCGGUGGAAUGCGCAGAUAUCAGGAGGAACACCGGUGGCGAAGGCGGGUCUCUGGGCAGUAACUGACGCUGAGGAGCGAAAGCGUGGGGAGCGAACAGG